rnacentral:misc_RNA from 1 species
UCCGGUUUGUCACCGGCAGUCUCCUUAGAGUUCCCAGCAUAACCUGAUGGCAACUAAGGACAAGGGUUGCGCUCGUUGCGGGACUUAACCCAACAUCUCACGACACGAGCUGACGACAACCAUGCACCACCUGUGAACCGGCCCCAAAGGGGAAACCACAUUUCUGCGGCGAUCCGGCCCAUGUCAAGCCUUGGUAAGGUUCUUCGCGUUGCAUCGAAUUAAUCCGCAUGCUCCACCGCUUGUGCGGGUCCCCGUCAAUUCCUUUGAGUUUUAGCCUUGCGGCCGUACUUCCCAGGCGGGGCGCUUAAUGCGUUAGCUACGGCACGGAAUCCGUGGAAACAGAUCCCACACCUAGCGCCCAACGUUUACGGUGUGGACUAC